ACAUACAACUGGGGACAACUCUGACAAUAAGCAAAGCCUGACUAUUCAUUUUGGAAACACUGGAUUUUAUAGUGUAUAUACCUUCUCAUCAAAGAGGGUAAGGAAGAAGAAACGCAAGUUAUAGUAGAUGAUAAGUUAGGAAAAGGUUGUGCUGGCCACUUUAUCCAGUUGUUCCUACAAUGAUUGUUGAAAUUUAAUAUUAGCUUUGAUGCAAGUACUAUCUUUAAAAAUAGAAUUAUGGGGGCUGUGGAAUGGCUUAGUCUCUACAAUACUUGAUGCACAAGUAUAAGAACUUGAGAUCAGAUCCUCAGCACCCAUGUUAAAAGCUGGGUGCAGUGGUUCAGACCUGAAAUCUCAGUAUUUGAGAUGCAGAAAGAUCCCAAAGCUCCUCUACUCUGCUCAUGUGCAUGUGCAUGAGCACAUUGCAGCAUCACAACUAAAAGCAACAUGGCUGGUUGUUAUUGGUUUAUCUUAAUGACUGAUUGUUUGAAUUUUUCUUGUUAUUCUGGGCAUAUAGGCCCAUAAAAUCUAGGAUUUUUUUUUUGUUUGUUUCUACUCAUAGAACAGACUUAUGACAUCAUCUUUUCUUGAGCUCUCAUUGCUGGAAUUACUGCAUUAGUGGCAGAACUAUUUAGAUAAUUUUUCAUGAUCACUUGGAAAAGGCCCAGUUGGGACUUCUUAAUCUAUAGAGACAGUUCUACCCUAGCAGUGCUUAGUAUUCACUGUCCUCAGUGCCAUGCCAGGGAGUUAGUCAUGAAAAAGUUAUGUUCUACGUAGUUUCAGGCUAGGAAAGUUUACCCCUAUAUUGGGCCUAGGGAAACAACAAGAGACACCACCAUUUCUGUUGUUCACUCACUUGCAGCCUUUAUGCCCUAUGUAAGGAUCAUUCUUCAGAGGCAAACACAUUCAUUCCAUCUGUGGAAAUGGAAAAGGUAUAUUUAAUAAAGCCAGCACACCAUGCUGAAAUAUUUUUUUUCUUCAGAAUUUUUGUAGAAACAUAUAAAAAGGUUCUUUGUCCUCUGCCCCCCACUUUCACCUGAAGAAAAUAUUUAGUACCUUUCUCCAGAUGCUAACUAGGCAUAUCUGAACUCUGGAGGAAUACUGGAAAAAGCUCCAUGAAGUUAGAGAUUUGGUCUUUUUUAUUUUGGUUGGUGGGGAAGGGGUUACAACUUGUGUUCCCAGCACCUUUAACUAAGUGACUGACUGACUGACAGACUGACUGACUAAAUGACUGAAUGACUGACUGAAUGAAUGAAUAUAUUGCAAGGUCCUUUAUGUUGUAGAUGUUAAAUG
rnacentral:lncRNA from 1 species